GGGCCCGCACAAGCGGGGGAGCAUGCGGAUUAAUUCGAUGCAACGCGAAGAACCUUACCAAGGCUUGACAUGUGCCGGAAAAGUGCAGAGAUGUGCUCCCCGCAAGGUCGGUACACAGGUGGUGCA
rnacentral:rRNA from 1 species